UUACGGCCAUAUCACGUUGUAGCGUCAGUUCCUGUACGAUCACCGAAGUUAAGCGACGUGGAGCCUAGUCAAUAGUUAGAUAUGUGACCUCUUGGGAAUAUCGGAUCCUG